rnacentral:lncRNA from 9 species
GGGCAGCUGUCCUUGGGGCAGCAUCUGCACGACCUGGGGCACAGAUCGUAAGGAUCAAUGUGAACUCCUUCUGGGGAGAGACUGGAAACUUGCCAAAGUCGCUUGGGUCUCCAGGAAGCAAACCUCAUUGGCUUAUAGAGCUGGAUGUGUUAGGGGCCCACCUCUUUGAGUGGGAGUCUUACAAGCCAUGCAAUCCUCAAUGUGGAACUCGAUCCCUUUGAUGCUCUGGGAGACACUGGUGGCAAAAGAAAAGAGACUCAAAGAAAUUUGACUGACAAAAGGACAAAGAACUAGGUUUCAAUCUUAUUUGACUUAAAAUCCAUCUUUCUCCCUCACUAUUCAUCAAGUUUUGACACAAGCAACCAACCAAGAAGAAAGGACAAUAACUUAGAUGUAAAAGAAAGAGUGGCUGGACUUGGAGAUGGAAAGAUAGAGGAAACGGGAAGGAUGGUAGCUCAUCAUACAGGUUUUCUAAAAAUGUUGCAGCAUGACUCAAAAUAGCAUAAGGCUGAAUAUACUGCAGUGACCACCCAGAAGACAAUAAAGCAGUUGUAUUCAUGAGA